GACGAACGCUGGCGGCGUGCUUAACACAUGCAAGUCGAACGGAAAGGCCCUGCUCUUGUGGGGUGCUCGAGUGGCGAACGGGUGAGUAACACGUGAGUAACCUGCCCUUGACUUUGGGAUAACUUCAGGAAACUGGGGCUAAUACCGGAUAGGAGCUCCUGCUGCAUGGUGGGGGUUGGAAAGUUUCGGCGGUUGGGGAUGGACUCGCGGCUUAUCAGCUUGUUGGUGGGGUAGUGGCUUACCAAGGCUUUGACGGGUAGCCGGCCUGAGAGGGUGACCGGCCACAUUGGGACUGCGAUACGGCCCAGACUCCGACGGGAGGCAGCAGUGGGGAAUAUUGCACAAUGGGCGGAAGCCUGAUGCAGCAACGCCGCAUGCGGGAUGACGGCCUUCGGGUUGUAAACCGCUUUCGCCUGUGACGAAGCGUGAGUGACGGUAAUGGGUAAAGAAGCACCGGCUAACUACGUG
rnacentral:rRNA from 1 species